rnacentral:rRNA from 1 species
AACGAACGCUGGCGGCAUGCCUAACACAUGCAAGUCGAACGAUGGUCUUCGGAUCAUAGUGGCGCACGGGUGCGUAACGCGUGGGAAUCUGCCCUUGGGUUCGGAAUAACAGUUGGAAACGACUGCUAAUACCGGAUGAUGUCGAUAAGACCAAAGAUUUAUCGCCCGAGGAUGAGCCCGCGUCGGAUUAGCUAGUUGGUGGGGUAAAGGCCUACCAAGGCGACGAUCCGUAGCUGGUCUGAGAGGAUGAUCAGCCACACUGGGACUGAGACACGGCCCAGACUCCUACGGGAGGCAGCAGUGGGGAAUAUUGGACAAUGGGCGCAAGCCUGAUCCAGCAAUGUCGCGUGAGUGAUGAAGGCCUUAGGGUUGUAAAGCUCUUUUACCCGGGAAGAUAAUGACUGUACCGGGAGAAUAAGCCCCGGCUAACUCCGUG